rnacentral:miRNA from 1 species
UUUAGUGUGAUAAUGGCGUUUGA